UGUCAUGCCAAUGGCACUGCCCGGUAGCUAAAUGCGGAAGAGAUAAGUGCUGAAAGCAUCUAAGCACGAAACUUGCCCCGAGAUGAGUUCUCCCUGAGACUUUAAGUCUCCUGAAGGAACGUUGAAGACGACGACGUUGAUAGGCCGGGUGUGUAAGCGCAGCGAUGCGUUGAGCUAACCGGUACUAAUGAACCGUGAGGCUUAACCUUACAACGCCGAAG
rnacentral:rRNA from 1 species